AUUUUUUUCCACAAGUAGUUGUACUUAUACUUAAGUACAGUGCAUAAAUACGUUUGUCAUCUUUGCUAUUCAAUGAUGUCUAAUGGUUAAAGUCCCUACCAACGUCCAUUCAAUAAUUUCUGUAACAGACGGAUGCUUCAGCAUAACCAAAUGAUGAAAAUGACCGCUUGGUGACGAUGUAAUAUCGAAAGUAAGGUCGAUGUGAUGCAAGCCGAAUGUCAAAUGAAACUACACAAACGUUUGAAAGUGGAAGCAAGCACGACAAAAGAGAAGGAUGCUGUCGAAGGGCCAUCUAUAUUCUGCAGUACUGCUCCUUGUGCUGAAGGGGGCAACAAAAUCGAG